rnacentral:rRNA from 1 species
UACGGAGGGUGCAAGCGUUAUCCGGAUUCACUGGGUUUAAAGGGUGCGUAGGUGGGCUGGUAAGUCAGUGGUGAAAUCUCCGGGCUUAACCCGGAAACUGCCGUUGAUACUAUUUGUCUUGAAUAUUGUGGAGGUAAGCGGAAUAUGUCAUGUAGCGGUGAAAUGCUUAGAUAUGACAUAGAACACCAAUUGCGAAGGCAGCUUACUACACAACGAUUGACGCUGAGGCACGAAAGCGUGGGGAUCAAACAGG